rnacentral:rRNA from 1 species
CACGUAGGGCGCAAGCGUUGUCCGGAAUUAUUGGGCGUAAAGAGCUCGUAGGCGGUCUGUUGCGUCCGCUGUGAAAACCCGGGGCUUAACCCCUGGCUUGCAGUGGAUACGGACAGACUAGAGGUAGGUAGGGGAGAAUGGAAUUCCUGGUGUAGCGGUGAAAUGCGCAGAUAUCAGGAAGAACACCAAUGGCGAAGGCAGCUCUCUGGGACGGUACUGACGCUGAGACGCGAAAGCGUGGGGAGCGAACAGG